CGGGGCCCGCACAAGCGGUGGAGCAUGUGGUUUUAAUUCGAUGAUACGCGAGGAACCUUUACCUGGUCUUGACAUCCCGGAGACCCUUAGGAAACUAGGGGGUGCUUCCAUCUGGAAGAAUCUGGAGACAGGUGCUGCAUGGCUGUCGUCAGCUCGUGUCGUGAGAUGUUGGGUUAAGUCCCGCAACGAGCGCAACCCUUUGCCUUUAGUUGCCAGCAGUUCGGCUGGGCACUCUAAAGGGACUGCCGGUGUUAAACCGGAGGAAGGUGGGAUGACGUCAAGUCAUCAUGCCCCUUAUGUCCAGGGCUUCACACAUGCUACAAUGGCCAGUACAGAGGGCUGCGAGACCGUGAGGUGGAGCGAAUCCCUUAAAGCUGGUCUCAGUUCGGAUCGGGGUCUGCAACUCGACCCCGUGAAGUCGGAGUCGCUAGUAAUCGCAGAUCAGCAACGCUGCGGUGAAUACGUUCCCGGGCCUU
rnacentral:rRNA from 1 species